rnacentral:rRNA from 1 species
UACGUAGGGCGCAAGCGUUGUCCGGAAUUAUUGGGCGUAAAGAGCUCAUAGGCGGUCUGUUACGUCCGCUGUGAAAACCCAGGGCUUAACCCUGGGCUUGCAGUGGAUACGGGUAGACUAGAGGCAGGUAGGGGAGAAUGGAAUUCCCGGUGUAGCGGUGAAAUGCGCAGAUAUCGGGAGGAACACCGGUGGCGAAGGCGGUUCUCUGGGCCUGACCUGACGCUGAGGAGCGAAAGCGUGGGGAGCGAACAGG